GGUUUCGUUUAUCACCAGCCACCACCCCAUUGGUCACCCCAAGAAGGCCAAGAAGGCCAAGAUUGCCAUGAAGACCACGAAUGUACUGGCCAUGAUGGUUUGUGGAAACUAGGAAGUUCAAUUUGCUUCGUAAAUUUGAGGAUUCUAUCAUGAAAGAGGAAUAAUUUAAAUUAAUGUAAAUCAAAUAAGUGAAAUUGAUCUUUUUAUUCAAAAAAUGGCUACAACAUUGAUGUCAAUUUGGACAUUCAGACAUUUAGUCGAUUACUUACGGAAGUGGAAGUGGAAGAGGCAAUGGUAAUGGCAAGAGUAUCUUUUUCGCUGGUCUUAGAGCCAAUAGAAAUGGAAGAAGCUUGCUCAAUUUUUUAAGCUUCAACAAUUUACCGGACGAAACUGGUCUAAUAAUAUCACUUGUUAUUAAAAGCAUGAAAACUAAAGAGAUCAACACAGAUCUAGUAAAUAAGGAAGACAUUGUCUAUUCCACACACAGUAUCGAAGCUUCCACAAGAUGUUCGUUAUUCCAGAUCAAUUAUAUGGACAAGGUAUCAAUCGGAGAAAGUUUGAGUUGUAUCACUUUGCACACCGAGGAUUGGCUUAGAGAGGACGAUAAAAACACUAACACCACAGAGUUUAUCUUCAAGUUGGAAUAGAUGAAAAUCACAUUUCUUAAAGAUUCUUGUUUAUCACUAUUAUCAAUAAAUCAAAAUGACCUGAGCAACAACCAGAAUCAAUCUACUUAUAAGGCAAUUAUUUGGUGAGAAAAGAAGGAGGAAGGACCUAAAAGAAAGUGAAAGUUUCUAUCGUUAUCCCUAAACACGAUUUUGGAAUUCAAAAUCUUCAUAGGUCAAGUAAGGUCGCCACUAAAUAGCCGAUUAAUUAACCAACCAGCUCAAUUAACUAACAAGGCUCAUCACGUUUCUUUUAUCUUAAGGAUUGGACCAUUCUGAAGCUUCAAUCAAAAGCCGAUUUCCUGGAAUCACUUUCAACUCGUCUAAUCAAAUUACACAAGCAACUUCAAUCUUGGUCAAGUGAUAAACCAGGACCAUUGAUCGAGGCCUGCAUCAAUUAGGAUCAAUUUAAAGCCAUUCUUUUCCUUUUGGACCGAAAUUAUUUAUCAAAUAUCAUCAGUUGAAGAAUUUUGUAAACUAAAUUUACUAGAAAUACAAUCAAUUUGAUCUCAUUAUUGGGUAAAAUUGCAUUGAAAUAGUCUUAGUUGAUCAGGAAAUGAUUUUAAAUAAGACAAAAAUGAUUUGAAAAUAAUAAGAAAUAAUGAGUGGAAAAAGUGACCUAAAGGAAUGAAAACAUUUGUAUCAUUUUGAGAGGCCUUAAUUGUGGUAAGGUGUAAAAC